GAUGAAGACGUAGUGAAAUGCGAUACUUGGUGUGAAUUGCAGAAUCCCGUGAACCAUCGAGUCUUUGAACGCAAGUUGCGCCCGAAGCCACUAGGCCGAGGGCACGCCUGCCUGGGCGUCACACGCCGUUGCCCCCCCAUCUACUCCUUCGGGAUUGCGGGGGGGCGGAUGAUGGCCUCCCGUGCGCCUAGCCGCGCGGUUGGCAUAAAUACCAAGUCCUCGGCGACGCACGCCACGACAAUCGGUGGUUGCGAAACCUCGGUUGCCCGUCGUGUGCGUUCGUCGCGCAUCGAGGGCUCGAAAAAAUGCUCGGCUCCGGCUGGGCUUUCAACGCGACCCCAGGUCAGGCGGGGUUACCCGCUGAAUUUAAGCAUAUCAAUAAGCGGAGGA
rnacentral:misc_RNA from 1 species